UUAGCUUUUUUUUUCUUUUCUCUUUUUCACUUUUUUUCUUCUUUUUUUUUUGCAUUAUUUUUUGAAAAUAAAUAUGCUAUGAUGCAAAUGAUGCAAACACGAUUGGCUGGCUGUGUAUCACGGAGCACAGGACCAAAGCUUCGGCUUGAAUUCGGAACCACAAAUCAUCUGAGACCCCAAAAAUCAUCUGAGACCCAAAGUCAUCUGAACUAAGUCACCAACAGGACCAAAGAGUCACCAACAAGUCACCAACGGUACCUGUAAUAAUGAUCAUUCCCUCCCCACUCACGGGUGUCAUCUAGGCCAGGGUAAGGUCAAGAGAAACGCAGGAUAAACAACCCUUUCAUAGAAUAUCAUCAUGUACACAC
rnacentral:lncRNA from 1 species